rnacentral:rRNA from 1 species
UAUUGCACAAUGGGCGCAAGCCUGAUGCAGCCAUGCCGCGUGUGUGAAGAAGGCCUUCGAGUUGUAAAGCACUUUCAGUCAGGAGGAAAGGUUAGUAGUUAAUACCUGCUAGCUGUGACGUUACUGACAGAAGAAGCACCGGCUAACUCCGUGCCAGCAGCCGCGGUAAUACGGAGGGUGCGAGCGUUAAUCGGAAUUACUGGGCGUAAAGCGUACGCAGGCGGUUUGUUAAGCGAGAUGUGAAAGCCCCGGGCUCAACCUGGGAACUGCAUUUCGAACUGGCAAACUAGAGUGUGAUAGAGGGUGGUAGAAUUUCAGGUGUAGCGGUGAAAUGCGUAGAGAUCUGAAGGAAUACCGAUGGCGAAGGCAGCCACCUGGGUCAACACUGACGCUCAUUACGAAA